rnacentral:rRNA from 1 species
UGCAAAGUUGUGUAGUGCGAUCGGUGGAUGCCUUGGCACCAAGAGCCGAUGAAGGACGUUGUGACCUGCGAUAAGCCCUGGGGAGUUGGUGAGCGAGCUGUGAUCCGGGGGUGUCCGAAUGGGGAAACCUGGAAUGUCCGGAGUAGUGUCCGGUGGCCCUGCCCUGAAUGUAUAGGGGUGUGGGUGGUAACGCGGGGAAGUGAAACAUCUUAGUACCCGUAGGAAGAGAAAACAAGUGUGAUUCCGUGAGUAGUGGCGAGCGAAAGCGGAGGAGGCUAAACCGUGUGUGUGUUCAAGCCGGCAGGUGUUGCAUGUGCGGGGUUGUGGGGGCCUUGUGGUUCUGCUGCCGCAGGAUUGGCCAGUGAGAAAUGUUGCGUGAAGGUGAAGCGUCUGGGAAGGCGUACCGGAGUGGGUGAGAGUCCUGUAACUGUAAGCGUGGCACUGGUGUGGGGUUGCCCCGAGUAGCGUGGGACUCGUGGAAUUUCGCGUGAAUCUGGCGGGACCACCCGUCAAGCCUAAAUACUCCUUGGUGACCGAUAGUGGAUGAGUACCGUGAGGGAAGGGUGAAAAGUACCCCGGGAGGGGAGUGAAAGAGUUCCUGAAACCGGUCGCAUGCAAGCCGUCAGAGCCUGUGUGGUGAUGGCGUGCCUUUUGAAGAAUGAGCCUGCGAGUUAGUGAUGCGUGGCGAGGUUAACCCGUGGUGGGGGAGUCGUAGCGAAAGCGAGUCCGAUAAGGGCGUGAGUCGCGUGUUCUAGACCCGAAGCGGUGUGAUCUAUCCAUGGCCAGGAUGAAGCGUCGGUAAGACGUCGUGGAGGUCCGAACCCACUUCAGUUGAAAAUGGAGGGGAUGAGUUGUGGAUAGGGGUGAAAGGCCAAUCAAACACCGUGAUAGCUGGUUCUCCCCGAAAUGCAUUUAGGUGCAGCGUUGCGUGGUUCUUGUUGGAGGUAGAGCACUGGAUGGUCUAGGGGGCUUAUCGGCUUACCGAAAUCAGCCAAACUCCGAAUGCUGGCAAGUGUAGCGUGGCAGUGAGACGGCGGGGGAUAAGCUUCGUCGUCGAGAGGGAAACAGCCCAGAUCAUCAGCUAAGGCCCCUAAGUGGUGACUCAGUGGGAAAGGAUGUGGAGUUGCGUAGACAACCAGGAGGUUGGCUUGGAAGCAGCCAUCCUUGAAAGAGUGCGUAAUAGCUCACUGGUCAAGUGAUUCCGCGCCGAUAAUGUAGCGGGGCUUAAGUUAUCCGCCGAAGCUGUGGCAACCUGUGUGGUUGGGUAGGGGAGCGUCGUGUCAGUGGUGAAGCUGCCGGGUGACUGUGUGGUGGAGUUGAUGCGAGUGAGAAUGCAGGCAUGAGUAGCGUGUGACGGGUGGGAAUCCCGUCCGCCGAUUAUCCAAGGGUUCCAGGGUCAAGUUUGUCUGCCCUGGGUGAGUCGGGUCCUAAGGCGAGGCCGACAGGCGUAGUCGAUGGGUAACCAGUUGAUAUUCUGGUACCGGCUUGUCACCGUCCGUGUCGAGGUGUGUGAUGCUAAGCAUGUGAGCUUGUCUUGGGAGUGUUUUUGAUGCUUCUGGGGUGGGUGAGUGUGUGAACCGAUCAUGUAGUAGGCAAGCUGCGGAGGGACGCAGUGAGGUAGCUCAUCCCCGGUGAUGGUUGUCCGGGGCUAAGUGUGUGGACUGUCUGGUAGGUAAAUCCGCUGGGCGUGAAGGUUGAGGCAUGAUGGGGAGCCCAUGGUUGUGGGUGAGUGAGUGAUCCUGUACUGUCGAGAAAAGCUUCGUGAGCGAGGUGGCGGGUCCGCCCGUACCCUAAACCGACACUGGUGGAUAGGUAGAGUAUACCGAGGCGAUCGAGUGAAUCGUGGUGAAGGAACUCGGCAAAAUGCCCCCGUAACUUUGGGAUAAGGGGGACCUGAGCUGUCGUGCACCCGUGCGGUGUGGUGGCGGUGAGGGGCGCAGAGUCCAGGGGGAAACGACUGUUUACCAAAAACACAGGUCCGUGCGAAGUCGUAAGACGAUGUAUACGGACUGACUCCUGCCCGGUGCUGGAAGGUUAAGGGGAACUGUGAGUGUAUGCGUAGCGGUGAACUUAAGCCCCAGUAAACGGCGGUGGUAACUAUAACCAUCCUAAGGUAGCGAAAUUCCUUGUCG